rnacentral:rRNA from 1 species
UACGGAGGGGGCUAGCGUUGUUCGGAAUUACUGGGCGUAAAGCGCGCGUAGGCGGCUUUGUAAGUUAGAGGUGAAAGCCCGGAGCUCAACUCCGGAACUGCCUUUAAGACUGCAUCGCUAGAAUCAUGGAGAGGUGAGUGGAAUUCCGAGUGUAGAGGUGAAAUUCGUAGAUAUUCGGAAAGAACACCAGUGGCGAAGGCGACUCACUGGACAUGUAUUGACGCUGAGGUGCGAAAGCGUGGGGAGCAAACAGG